rnacentral:misc_RNA from 1 species
GUUUCGCUUUUUCAAAAAUUUCUCGGACUGAACGGUUUGACUUGGAAUAUUUUGAGGUUGUUCCGGCGGGUUACCCCGCCGAAGCAGAAGGGUCUGAAAACAACCCCCAUCCAACUGGAGAGGGUGCCCAGCAAAGGACGGGAGGUAACCCCCCUUUUUACGGGGGGAUUCGCACUCGGUAAUGAUCCUUCCGCAGGUUCACCUACGGAAA